AGAUAACCUCCGAGCUCCGGCCAAACGACGCCUAAAAGGCCUUAAAACGAAGCCCUGCUGCACUCAUAACGGCACUCAACCAGCUCCCGGGGAAACCCCAGUAAGAGAGCAGCAAGCUGAUGCCUUUUUUGUACCCGCAAACGAGCAGAAAGACCCGACGGAAAACCGGGGCCUACUCUGCCUACCAAGCCACGAGGCUAGCACAGGAACUUACAGCCCUGAGAGUGCACCAGGACGCCGACCUGCAGAUUGGGUCAGCUGUGCCUAACGACCACAACAUG